UACGUAGGGGGCUAGCGUUGUUCGGAAUUACUGGGCGUAAAGCGCACGUAGGCGGACUACUAAGUCAGGGGUGAAAUCCCGGGGCUCAACCCCGGAACUGCCUUUGAUACUGGUAGUCUCGAGUCCGGAAGAGGUGAGUGGAAUUCCGAGUGUAGAGGUGAAAUUCGUAGAUAUUCGGAGGAACACCAGUGGCGAAGGCGGCUCACUGGUCCGGUACUGACGCUGAGGUGCGAAAGCGUGGGGAGCAAACAGG
rnacentral:rRNA from 1 species